UGAACCUCCUCCUUCCCACCCACCAUUUGUUUCUUCCUGUCGUCAGUUCCGGCGAUCGCCAAAGGCCAGUUUCUUUUUCUUUUUGUUUUGGGUGAAAGCCAAAGGCCAGGGUUUUGAGAGUUUUUUAACGCCAACCAGAACCAUCGCCCUCUUUCUUUUUUUUUUUGUUUUUUUUUAUGCCAUACCAUCGCCCUCUUCCUCGAGAAUAUGGUUUGGGUUGCUGCCGCUGGCGCACCAUCAACGGCUUCGGCUGUCUUCAGCUUUAGUUGGACCAGAUCCACUGCUCAGCUGGUAGACCAAUCCAACCGUGGAGCAGCACACACUGACAACUACAUGGUCCAUGAACAAAAUCACCCAGAGAUUCCAACAUCUAUAAUGUUCUUCAGAAGAAAAGAAAAUAAUUUUUUCACUAAAAUUCAUUAAUUAAGUGCAUAUUAUAUAUUUAUGCAAGAUUCAUUAUUUAUAACCUAAUCUUCGACUCAUAUCAGCAACUACAUGGAACUAUUUGUUAAAGGCCUUCGAUUCAUUAUGUUACAUGGAACUAAAAUUUAUCAAAUAGUGAAUCAGUUUGCACAUACAUAUCUAUAAUAUUUUUAAAUAUGCGACCAGACCAAGUAUGCUUAAAAUUAUGGUUAUCAAUACUGGGUGCAAUAUUGUAGUUGGAUGAGGAGUUCUAAAAGUUCCAGCACCAACCAAAAAUUGUUAUUUGUUGAUGCACAUACAAAACUCCACCUUUUUUUUUGCAAAUUAAAAUUUUAUUAUUUACCCCGAUGAGGAUAAAUACGCCACACUCCACCAAUGGCGACCUAUGCUAAAGCAUAUUAGUAUUUUUUACGAAGACUUUGGUCAUAUACUAGUCAAUUGGAUAUAGGAGCACAGCAUCGUCAGGGGAAGGGGAUUAUAAAUAACCAUGACCGGAAACGCAAGACGAUGCUACUUCCAACAGUAUGAUCGUGUUCUUGAUCGCGUAACUGGUCGGGUUUUCGGGUGGCUGGACUGUGAAGUUGCUCCCCAUCUCCAGGGGUCGGCUUCGCUGCCAUCGUCGCCUGGCACUAGCAGUCCAAUCAUCCUACCCGCGGUGUCUCUGCCGUGCCCUCCGUGGCGGAGCAUCCAUUGCUGCGAACAAACACCAGGCUCUAUCCCUUGCCGGUGCCUGCAACCUCCCGCCCCACGCUCUUGGCCCCUGCUACGUUCUGGAAAGACCAAGUCACCAAUAGAAUCUCCCAAAGAGAGGUCCAAAUCAUGUACCUUUCACUUCAUACAAAUGAUUGAAGAGUCUCUUGGACACUUUGAAGUGCGCUGUGCGGCUCUACUCACCAAACAACUCUUGCAGGUAGAAGCCAAACAUCCCACCUCCAUGAUGCUUUAUUUAAAAGAUCUUUGGACUCUCCUUUGUGUAUGAAAGAGUUUGAAAAAGGAUGUAGGAAGAAAGAUAGAGGAGGAAUUAUUUUUACAUGUGGAGGCUCCUUACGAGAUUUUGGCGAAGUGCUGGGCCGCCAUGCUGGACUUUCUUAGCGAUGAACCUCGCCGGUACGCGACUUGCUUGCCCUCGGGAUAGAGCACGCGGCGCUACCAGAGUGCGUAUCCGCGCAAUUGUGAUUUUGGUCGCAGGGUUCAAGAGCGUGGGGCUGGAGUUUGCAGGCAUCGGCAAGGGAUAGAGCCUGGUCUUUGUUCACAGCAAUGGAUGCUCCGCCGCAGAGGGCACGGCAGAGACUGGACGUAGGAUGAUUGGACUGCCAGUGCCAGGCGCAGAUGGAGGGCUGAGGAAGCGAUUGAGCCACCCAAAAACACGGCCAGUAACACGAUCAAGAACACGAUCAUACUGUUGGAAACCAUCGUCUUGCGUCUCUCUCCAUGGAGGAUUAGAGGCUGCAGCUAAGCACCUUUUACAGGCUUUUAAAAGGAAAGAGAGGACAACCAUUGUCCGCUAGUAACAGCAAGCCAAACAAGAGGACCAAAGUGUAUGGUCAUCUGAAAAAAGAGGAACAAAGUGUAUUGUUUGGUUAGGACGAUUCCCAGGAACCAUCUAUCUAAAAAAAAUAAUUGUAUAAAAAAAUAAAUUUUAUCAUAUUUAGAUGGUGGAAAAAUUGUUUAAAAAAUAAUAUCAAGAAAAAUUAGUAUGUUUGUUUUGAGGUAA